rnacentral:lncRNA from 1 species
CCCAGGUCUGGGGCUGUUGGACCCCGGCCCGGAGCUUCGGCCUCGACCCCGGAGCUGCGCGGCCGAACUGCAUCUGCCGCAGUUCUUUGUGCCUCGGUCCCGCGCGCCCGGGACCUGUCCGCGGGAGGCCGCGCCGGCGAGCCUGGUUUCCUCUCCGAUCUGCAGCCACGGGUCCCCCGGACGGGCCCAUUUCCAUACGGUGUGAUGUGUGCCCUUAAAAGAAAAAAAAAAAAAUCAGAAUUACAAAUAAAGUCGUGCGGGCAAGACUUUUACGCGGAAAGGGGAAUUUCCGCCCAAACGUUGGGGUUGUUACGCUGUUGGAAGUAAGUCUAGAUUUUGCCGUUGUGUUAAUGCCUUUGCAGAGUCUCAUCAGACGCACACACAACUGCCCACCAUUUCCCGGGUUUGGAAAAGAGACCUGCCUCCCCCCCCCCCCCACCCCCUUAAAUGAAAGUGAUGACUCAAUGCUCGAGGGCAGCGCGGGCCCUAACACACAGGCCCUCGCGGCGCGGCGCUCGGGGGAGCCCGAGUUUGGAAAGAAUCGCGCCGGGCCCGUAGGACUUGGCAGAAAAUGUGCCAGGUGGGCAGCCUGCAAGGGGGUAGGGGCAGAGCAAGGAGCCCUGCCUAGAGAUCCACGAGCGCCAGUCGGGGCCUUGGCGGCGGUGGUUCGUGCAUCCUGCACAGGCCGGCGGGCCCCUAGUGUGCAGCAGGAGGCAGGCCGCCCUUCGCUCUCGUGGGGCCGGGGCUCUGCUACUGCCCUUGAGGACUGCAAACAAAUUGGUUAGACUGGCUAACAACGUAAUGCAGAUCCCAGUUCCCUGAGCUGAGAUGACUCUUCACAACCAGCAAGAGUAGAUGUAGAUCUGCUGACUCUUGAGCCUUCUCAGGGCAUUCUAGAAUGCUGCUUUCUUGCGGUUACUGCAGCUGCUCAAAGACCAUGUCACAUCUCUGUGACCCCGACAGUAAAGACAGGGGGACAUCACCGUCUUUCUUCUCACCCGGAAAGACACCUCCCAGUCCAUCUCCUCCAAUUCGGUAAGAUCCUAUCAGUCCUUCAAGUUCCGUUUCAAAUACUCAUCUCCAAAACAUUGGGUAAAGAUGAUGGCAGCAGUGAGACCAUUAAAGAGAACUGAAAGAGCCAAAUGAAGCAGGGGCUGGAAGGAGUUAAAAAAAAAGCAUUUAAAACAUUUGUUUUAGUUUUAAUUUCUAGAUAUGAGAUCCCCAAGUAUAUUUGAUCAUGGGAGUGAUAGUUGUCUUCCAUGGAGAGACCAAGGUUUGUGGAGAAAAAUGAUAGAAUUGAACUGUUAGAAAAGACAUUUGAAGUCAGCUAAUUUCUUCCCCCACCCAGUAUGAUGUCCCUAACAGGGCUUCAAUUCACUUUCUCCCUGAACCCAAAGAGUGACAGGGAACUGCCUCCUGAGCUCUUUCUCAAGAUCAUUCACUCCCCUACUGUCUCUUGCAUUUGUCAAGCAACGCUGCUAUAGUGAAGGAUGCUAUAUUAGUUUGCUAGGGCUGCCGUAGCAAAACACUCCAGACUUGGUGGUCUAAACAAGAGGAAAUUUAUCUUCUCACAGUUCUGCAAGUUGGAAGUCCAAGAUCAAGGUGGCAUCAGGUUUGGUUUCUCAAGGCUUCUCUCUUUGGCUUAUAGAUGGCUGUCCCUUUGCUGCUUUUUCACAGGGUUGUCCCUGUGCAUGAGCACCCAUGAUUUCUCUUCCUCAUCUUAGAACUAGUCCUAUUGGGUUAGUGCCCCACCCUGACAGCCUCAUUUUAUUCAAUCACCUCUUUAAAGACCAUAUUGAGACUGAAGCUCUUGAAGGACAGGAAUCCUGCUUUCUCCAUCUUGGGGUGCCAUAGUUCCUAUCACUCAAUACUCAAAUGAAUCACAACCCAAUGAACUGAAACGCAUCUUUUUAUUCACUGGGCUCUCCUGUUGAAAGCCAAAGCAGGAUCGGAUCGACAAGUUUGGAAAAAUGUGAGAGAAUAUCCUCCUGAUGGUACUUAGACACGUCAGGAUUUUUGCUACUUUGGAACAGGUGAUUUUCCACAUGAUUGAGCACCUGAUCCCAUCAGGUAGGUCUUAAAUGUAUGACUGUCUUUUGAAAUUUCAUACCUACCACUAAUGUGAUGAAUUGUCACUGCAGUUCAAGGGCAUUCAUUUUGGAAAUAGGUGCCAACUGGCCUGUGAUGGUUUCUCAUUUUCAAACAGCUAGGGGCUGAUAAUUGCAGAUAUUUGAUAAAGGCAACAAGUUCACUCUACAUGGUUCAAUGAACUACUCUUUCUAUUCUGUGUAGACAAAUGGUGCUACUGUUUAUUUAUGAUCUAUAGGCAGGUUAUUAUAUUCUAGAUCACUUAUAAUCGAUGAGGCAUACUCUUUCAUUAUUAUUAUUAUUUCUUUGCCCUUCUCACUUAAUGAUAUUUACAAGCUUUUAGGUGUAAUAGGUUCUUAUUUAGCAGCAGAAUAUUUGUCCUGUUUUGACUAAUGAUGCAUUGCUCAGUUUCACCCAUCAUUGACUGCUCAGUUGGUGGAGUCUGCAUCUGGCUUCCCUGUUUCUCAUUAUGUACACUUUCUUCAAAUGUCACAGAUGCCCCUUUAUGUGGGGACACUUUCAUUUUCUCUAUUUGCUUCUGCUUCUGUUCGAUAUUCCUCCUUACUUUUUAUGUCGCUAUUAAUUUUGAAAGGUCAAUUGUUAAGAAUAUGUCUACCUCCAUAAAACAAAUAUUUCAAAGCAUAUAUUAUUUUCAUGUUCACUACUAGUUUUUUUUUUUUUUUUCAUUUGGACCUAAUUAGGUGAAUAUGGAGGAUAAAGGUUGUUCUUAUUAGGCAAAAUAUAGUGGUGAUUACUCUCCUUGGCCUUCAAGUAUCACACAUCUAGAGAUAAGGAGGUAGUCCUCUAUGACUGAGCAUAAGGCCUAAAUACAUUUACCAACUGCAUUCUUGCUUUAAGCCAUAGGAAAUUAGGUUAGUGAUCAAGAGAAGGGCUGGCAGUCAUAG